rnacentral:lncRNA from 1 species
AUGCUACACACACUGUAUUUACUGAGCUCUGUAGAGAUGUACCCUUAUGCUUUGACACACCCAUACAUCAACAAAGAACACUUCGUAUGGCACACACACACACAGCGCACCACACACGCACACAGCACCACACACACACAGCACCACACAGACACAGCACCACACACACACAGCACCACACACACACAAACACACACACAGCACCACACACACACAGCACCACACAGACACAGAACCACACAAACACAAACACAGCACCACACACACACAGCACCACACACACACAGCACCACACAGACAGAGACACAGCAUCACACAGACACACACACAGCACCACACAGACACAAACACAGCACCACACACACACAAACACACACACAGCACCACACACACACAGCACCACACAGACACAGAACCACACAAACACAAACACAGCACCACACAAACACAGCACCACACAGACACAAACACAGCACCACACACACACAGCACCACACAAACACGGCACCACACACACACAGCACCACACAAACACAAACACAGCACCACACAAACAAACACAGCACCACACAGACACAGCGCCACACAAACACAGCACCACACAAACACAGCACCACACACACACACACACACAGCACCACACAAACACAAACACAAACACAGCACCACACACACACAGCACCACACACACACAAACACAGCACCACACACACACAGCACCACACAGACACAGCACCACACAAACAUAGCACCACACACACACAGCACCACACACACACAGCACCACACAAACACAGCACCAAACAAACACAAACACAGCACCACACACACACACACACAGCACCACACAAACACAAACACAGCACCACACAAACACAAACACAGCACCACACAAACAAACACAGCACCACACAGACACAGCACCACACACACACAGCACCGCACAGACUCAGCACCACACACACACAGCACCACACAAACACUGCACCACACAAACACACACACAGCACCACACAAACACAAACACAGCACCACACAAACACAGCACCACACAAACACACACACAAACACAGCACCACACACACACACACACAAACACAGCACCACACACACACAGCACCAAACAAACACAGACACAAACACAGCACCACACACACACAGCGCCACACAAACACAGCACCACACACACACAGCACCACACAAACACAAACACAGCACCACACACACACAGCACCACACAGACAGUGGGUGGUAUUUCAUCUCCUUUCAGAUUGGCUACCAGUCUUAUCUCUUGACACGGCCUAUUCUUAG